UACGGAGGGGGCAAGCGUUGUCCGGACUUACUGGGCGUAAAGGGUGCGUAGGCGGCCUGCUGCGUCGGUGCUGAAAGCGCCCGGCUUAACCGGGCGAGGCGUGCCGAUACGAGCGGGCUGGAGGCUUGGCGAGGGUGGCGGAACUCCUGGUGUAGUGGUGAAAUGCGUAGAGAUCAGGAAGAACACCCGUGGCGCAAGCGGCCACCUGGCCAAGAGCUGACGCUGAGGCACGAGAGCGUGGGGAGCGAACCGG
rnacentral:rRNA from 1 species